GUUGAACGCUGGCGGCGUGCCUAAUACAUGCAAGUCGAGCGAAUAGACGAGGCUUUCGCCUCUCUGCCGCUAGCGGCGGACGGGUGAGUCAUACGAGGAUAACUGAUCGAUAAGACUGGGGUAACUUCGGGAACCCUGAUCCAAUACCGGUUCAGAUAUUGAACCGCAUGGUUCUUUAGAGAUCGCGCUAUCUGCUGUGCCUUGUACAUAUUUCCUCGCCGCAUUAGCUAGUUGGUACGGUAACGGCUUACCAAGGCAACGAUGCGUAGCCGACCUGAGAGGAUGAUCGGCCACACUGGAACUGAGACACGGUCCAGACUCCUACGGGAGGCAGCAGUGGGGAAUAUUCGACAAUGGGCGAAAGCCUGACGGAGCCACGCCGCGUGAGUGAUGAAGGUCUUCGGAUCGUAAAGCACUGUUAUUAGGGAAGAACAAAAGUAUAAGUAAAUAUGCACGUCUUGACGGUACCUAAUCAGAAAGCAACGGCUAACUACGUG
rnacentral:rRNA from 1 species